rnacentral:rRNA from 1 species
CCUACGGGAGGCAGCAGUGAGGAAUAUUGGUCAAUGGACGAGAGUCUGAACCAGCCACGUAGCGUGAAGGAUGACUGCCCUAUGGGCUGUAAACUUCUUUUAUAAAGGAAUAAAACGAGGCACGUGUGCCUUUUUGCAUGUACUUUAUGAAUAAGGAUCGGCUAACUCCGUGCCAGCAGCCGCGGUAAUACGGAGGAUCCGAGCGUUAUCCGGAUUUAUUGGGGUUAAAGGGAGCGUAGAUGGGUUGUUAAGUCAGUUGUGAAAGUUUGCGGCUCAACCGUAAAAUUGCAAUUGAUACUGGCAGUCUUGAGUACAGUUGAGGUAGGCGGAAUGCGUGGUGUAGCGGUGAAAUGCUUAGAUAUCACGAAGAACCCCGAUUGCGAAGGCAGCUUACUAAACUGUGACUGACAUUGAUGCUCGAAAGUGUGGGUAUCAAACAGGAUUAGAUACCCCGGUAGUC